rnacentral:tRNA from 1 species
GGAGAGGUCGCUAUUGGCAAAGCAAGCUGUUUGCUAAACAGUUGUAGAUGUAAGUCUACUGGGGGUUCGAGUCCCUCUCUCUCCG